rnacentral:lncRNA from 1 species
AAUGAAACAAGAGAAAAAAAAAACAAGAAAGAAAAUGGUAAGGGGGAAGUGCCUAUUUAUUAAGCUUUUGUUGUAAAUAGUAACUUGCAUAUCAGAUGUUUACUGUAAUAUUCUUGAAGCCUUGCCAGGCCUACAGCUUGCUGUGUGCUUUUCAACUCUAUUUCAUUUAUUUGGGAAAUCAUAUAUCAAUGUAUUUAUUCAUUCCCAGCUCUAACCAUGGAAUACUGGGAAUGUCCCUUUCUAUGAAGGAGGUUUGCUGGCCACAACAGGAAUAUUCAUGAACAUGGAGGGGUUGGGCAUGUUCCAGGAUCUGUCUAUAGACUUCUCUCAGGAGGAAUGGGAGUGCCUGGACGCUGCUCAGAAGGACUGAUACAGAGAUGUAAUGAUGGAGAACUAUAGCAGCCUGGUCUCACUAGGUCUCUCUAUCCCAAAGCCUGAUGUGAUUUCCUUACUGGAGCAAGGGAAAGAGCCCUGGAUGGUUUCAAGGGACAUACCGGGAGGAUGGUGCCCAGGUGAGUAAGGACUGAGCAGAUGGGGAAGGCACUGCUGUUUAGAACCCAGCCCAUCAGGGAGGCAGCGCCGUAAAGGUAUUGGUUGGGGAAUCUCUUCUGCAAGGUCCCAUGUAAGAGUUGUGGCCUAAGACACAUGGAGAAAAGUCAAGAUACCACCCCCCCACCCACAAACACACUCUUUUUUAAAAAUUUUUUUUAAUUUGAGAGAGAG